rnacentral:rRNA from 1 species
UACGAGGGGGGCAAAUGUUGUUCGGAAUCACUGGGCGUAAAGGGAGCGUAGGCGGCCAACUAAGUCAGACGUGAAAUCCCUCGGCUUAACCGGGGAACUGCAUCUGAUACUGGAUGGCUUGAGAUUGGGAGAGGGAUGCGGAAUUCCAGGUGUAGCGGUGAAAUGCGUAGAUAUCUGGAGGAACACCGGUGGCGAAGGCGGCAUCCUGGACCGAUAUUGACGCUGAUGCGCGAAAGCCAGGGGAGCAAACGGG